UGAAUACGAGAUGCUACGGCGUCGAAGCAGUGUAUGUCAGACUUCCAAGAAAAGCUCGCAAUGUCAUAAAUAAAGAAUGCCUGUACCAUAACCGACACAGGUGGGUAGGUAGAGUAUACUAAGGGGCGCGAGAUAACUCUCUCUAAGGAACUCGGCAAAAUAACUCCGUAACUUCGGGAGAAGGAGUGCCUUCUUGAAGAAGGUUGCAAUAACAAGAUCCAAGCAACUGUUUAUCAAAAACACAGGUCUCCGCUAAGUCGAAAGACGAUGUAUGGGGGCUGACGCCUGCCCAGUGCCAGAAGGUUAAAGAAGCUGGUUAGCAAUAGCGAAGCUGGUGACUGAAGCCCUGGUGAACGGCGGCCGUAACAAUAACGGUCCUAAGGUAGCGAAAUUCCUUGUCGGGUAAGUUCCGACCCGCACGAAAGGCGUAAUGAUUUGGAUACUGUCUCGGAGAGGGACUCGGUGAAAUAGACUUGUCUGUGAAGAUGCGGACUACCUGCACCAGGACAGAAAGACCCUAUGAAGCUUUACUGUAACUUGAAAUUGAAAUUGGACUUUAUUUGCGCAGUAUAGGUGGAAGGCGUUGAGAUUACUCUUGCGGGAUUAGUGGAGCCAUCAGUGAGAUACCACUCCUAUAAUGUUAGAUUUCUAACUUUGGAUCAUAAUCUGGUCAAAGAACAGUUUCAGGCGGGCAGUUUGACUGGGGCGGUCGCCUCCCAAAUGGUAACGGAGGCGUACAAAGGUUUCCUCUGAACGGGUAGAAAUCGUAUCUAGAGUGUAAAGGCAUAAGGAAGCUUGACUGUGAGACCUACAAGUCGAGCAGGGACGAAAGUCGGUCUUAGUGAUCUGACGGUGCUGAGUGGAAAGGCCGUCACUCAACGGAUAAAAGUUACUCUAAGGAUAACAGGCUGAUCUCCCCCAAGAGUUCACAUCGACGGGGAGGUUUGGCACCUCGAUGUCGGCUCAUCGCAUCCUGGGGCGGUAGUACGUCCCAAGGGUUGGGCUGUUCGCCCAUGAAAGCGGUACGCGAGCUGGGUUCAGAACGUCGUGAGACAGCUCGGUCCAUAUCCGGUGUAGGCGUUAGAAUAUUGAGAGGAGCCUUCUUUAGUACGAGAGGACCGAGAAGGACAUACCUCUGGUGUACCAGUUAUCGUGCCAACGGUAAACGCUGGGUAGCUAUGUAUGGAGAGGAUAACCGCUGAAAGCAUCUAAGUGGGAAGCCCACCUCAAGAUGAGUAUUCUCAC
rnacentral:rRNA from 1 species